rnacentral:tRNA from 1 species
GGAGGGAUGGCCGAGUGGCUUAAGGCGGCGGUCUUGAAAACCGCUGUCCCGGGGAACUGGGACCGUAGGUUCGAAUCCUACUCCCUCCGCCA